CUACAUUACCCGAACUUUGGUUCCGCAAGGACAUGCGCCAGCCACCGCCAGCCGCAUGAGGGAAUCCAAUGACCGCCGCCCGCUUCAGGGUCUGGCGGCCGAAUGGAACUGCCCCCGCAACUGUAGGCAACGAGCCCGCCCCAUCCGCCACUGAAUCCACAUUCGGGAAGGCGGGGCGACGCGAUGACGUGCCAGUCAGGAGACCUGCCAAAGCACCAACCAUCGA
rnacentral:ncRNA from 2 species